rnacentral:rRNA from 1 species
CCUACGGGGAGCAGCAGUGAGGAAUAUUGGUCAAUGGUCGGGAGACUGAACCAGCCAAGCCGCGUGAGGGAUGAAGGUACAGAGUAUCGUAAACCUCUUUUGUCCGGGGACAAAGGCGGGGACGCGUCCCCGGAUGAGUGUACCUGAAGAAAAAGCAUCGGCUAACUCCGUGCCAGCAGCCGCGGUAAUACGGAGGAUCCGAGCGUUAUCCGGAUUUAUUGGGUUUAAAGGGUGCGGAGGCGGUCUGUUAAGUUAGAGGUCAAAUGCCGGGGCUCAACCCCGGCCCUGCCUUUGAAACUGGCAGUCUAGAGUUGGAGAGAGGUAUGCGGAAUGUGCGGUGUAGCGGUGAAAUGCAUAGAGAUCGUACAGAACACCGAUUGCGAAGGCAGCAUGCCGGCUCCACACUGACGCUGAGGCACGAAAGCGUGGGUAGCGAACAGGAUUAGAUACCCGAGUAGUC